AAUUACUACCUCAGUGUACCUACUAAAUAUUUCUCCUACAAAGGCUGUCUUAAAUCAAACACCAUAAGAAGCUUGGAGAGGUACAAAACCUAUGGUAAGCCACUUAAGAAUUUUUGGUUGUAUUGCUUAGGCUUUAGUAAAUUCUUAAAAUCUCCAAAAACUGGAUGAAAAAUCUAAAAAAUGCAUUUUCAUCGGUUAUUGUCUUGAAUCCAAAGCAUAUAGGUUAUACAACCCUCUUAGUGGCAAAGUGAUUGUUAGCAGAAAUGUAAUCUUUAAUGAAGAAGCAGGCUGGAAUUGGAGUAGCAAAAGUGACGGAAUUCAACUUGAAACCUCAUUGAAUGAAAUGGUGAACCCAAUACUAGAAAACUCAACAAA
rnacentral:lncRNA from 1 species